CUCAGAUUGAACGCUGGCGGCAGGCUUAACACAUGCAAGUCGAACGAUGAUACUCUAGCUUGCUAGAGAUGAUUAGUGGCGGACGGGUGAGUAACAUUUAGGAAUCUGCCUAGUAGUGGGGGAUAGCUCGGGGAAACUCGAAUUAAUACCGCAUACGACCUACGGGUGAAAGGGGGCGCAAGCUCUUGCUAUUAGAUGAGCCUAAAUCAGAUUAGCUAGUUGGUGGGGUAAAGGCCCACCAAGGCGACGAUCUGUAACUGGUCUGAGAGGAUGAUCAGUCACACCGGAACUGAGACACGGUCCGGACUCCUACGGGAGGCAGCAGUGGGGAAUAUUGGACAAUGGGGGCAACCCUGAUCCAGCCAUGCCGCGUGUGUGAAGAAGGCCUUUUGGUUGUAAAGCACUUUAAGCAGGGAGGAGAGGCUAAUGGUUAAUACCCAUUAGAUUAGACGUUACCUGCAGAAUAAGCACCGGCUAACUCUGUGCCAGCAGCCGCGGUAAUACAGAGGGUGCGAGCGUUAAUCGGAAUUACUGGGCGUAAAGCGAGUGUAGGUGGCUCAUUAAGUCACAUGUGAAAUCCCCGGGCUUAACCUGGGAACUGCAUGUGAUACUGGUGGUGCUAGAAUAUGUGAGAGGGAAGUAGAAUUCCAGGUGUAGCGGUGAAAUGCGUAGAGAUCUGGAGGAAUACCGAUGGCGAAGGCAGCUUCCUGGCAUAAUAUUGACACUGAGAUUCGAAAGCGUGGGUAGCAAACAGGAUUAGAUACCCUGGUAGUCCACGCCGUAAACGAUGUCUACUAGCCGUUGGGGUCCUUGAGACUUUAGUGGCGCAGUUAACGCGAUAAGUAGACCGCCUGGGGAGUACGGCCGCAAGGUUAAAACUCAAAUGAAUUGACGGGGGCCCGCACAAGCGGUGGAGCAUGUGGUUUAAUUCGAUGCAACGCGAAGAACCUUACCUGGUCUUGACAUAGUGAGAAUCCUGCAGAGAUGCGGGAGUGCCUUCGGGAAUUCACAUACAGGUGCUGCAUGGCUGUCGUCAGCUCGUGUCGUGAGAUGUUGGGUUAAGUCCCGCAACGAGCGCAACCCUUUUCCUUAUUUGCCAGCGGGUUAAGCCGGGAACUUUAAGGAUACUGCCAGUGACAAACUGGAGGAAGGCGGGGACGACGUCAAGUCAUCAUGGCCCUUACGACCAGGGCUACACACGUGCUACAAUGGUAGGUACAGAGGGUUGCUACACAGCGAUGUGAUGCUAAUCUCA
rnacentral:rRNA from 1 species